UUCGGUCAAGUUGAACGGAUGACUUAGUGGCGGACGGGUGAGUAACGCGUGAGGAACCUGCCUUUCAGUGGGGGACAACAGUUGGAAACGACUGCUAAUACCGCAUAACGUAUCGGGAUGGCAUCUUCCUGAUACCAAAGAUUUUAUCGCUUAGAGAUGGGCUCGCGUCUGAUUAGCUAGUUGGUGAGGUAACGGCCCACCAAGGCGACGAUCAGUAGCCGGUCUGAGAGGAUGAACGGCCACAUUGGGACUGAGAUACGGCCCAGACUCC
rnacentral:rRNA from 1 species